CCAGCAAAGUUUAAUUCUUAGUGGGCCUUAGCUUUCCUGACCUGGUCCCUGGCUUCCCAGACAACAUCUCCGUAUUCUUCCCAGGCCACCUGCUCUCAUUUCUACUUUUUAUAAGCUUCUUUUUCCCUAAG